rnacentral:rRNA from 1 species
GAUGAACGCUGGCGGCGUGCCUAAUACAUGCAAGUCGAGCGGCAGCACGGUCUUCGGACUGGUGGCGAGCGGCGGACGGCUGAGUAACGCGUAGGAAUAUACCCAAAGUGAGGGAUAACUGCCCGAAAGGGUGGCUAAUACCGCAUGUGGUCUUCGGACUAAAGCCUUCGGGCGCUUUGGGAAUAGCCUGCGUAAGAUUAGCUAGUUGGUGAGGUAAUGGCUCACCAAGGCGACGAUCUUUAGCUGGUCUGAGAGGAUGACCAGCCAGACUGGAACUGAGACACGGUCCAGACUCCUACGGGAGGCAUCAGUAGGGAAUUUUCCACAAUGGGCGAAGCCUGAUGGAGCAACGCCGCGUGCAGGAUGAAGGCCCUCGGGUCGUAAACUGCUUUUAUGUGCGAAGAAUAUGACGGUAACACAUGAAUAAGGGUCGGCUAACUACGUGCCAGCAGCCGCGGUAA